rnacentral:rRNA from 1 species
AUACGGAGGAUGCAAGCGUUAUCCGGAUUUAUUGGGUUUAAAGGGUGCGUAGGCGGUUUGCUAAGCGGGAGGUGAAAUGCCGGCGCUCAACGUCGGAAGUGCCUCCCGAACUGGUGGACUUGAAUGACUCUGCCGUGGGAGGAAUGUGUAGUGUAGCGGUGAAAUGCUUAGAGAUUACACAGAACACCGAUUGCGAAGGCAUCUCACGAAGGGUUGAUUGACGCUGAGGCACGAAAGCGUGGAGAACAAACAGUAUUAGAUACCCGUGUGGUCCACGCAGUAAGCGAUGAUGGCUAGGCGCUGGGCUUAUCAGUUCAGUGGCCAAGCGAAAGCGAUGAGCCAUCCGCCUGGGGAGUACGACCGCAAGGUUGAAACUUAAAGGAAUUGGCGGGG